rnacentral:lncRNA from 1 species
GUGGCCGCGGCGGCGCGCGCUGCGAGAUAGGAUUGAUUCCCCGCGGCCAGCUGCGCGCAACCCAAGGGAAGAGUCCCUUGCCUCUGCGAGUCUCCGGGAUCGCGCUGGGUUAGUGGCAAGAGGGGCGACCGCCGGUGGGGCGAAGGCCCCAAGGCCCCGGCGGCCUCGAGGUGGCUUGUUUGGGCUAGCGGGGCCUGCCCAGCCCCUCCGCCCCCAGUACCCGGGCUGGAAAUGUGAAUUCAAGGCUGCACCCGCCCUGGUCACCUCUAACUGCCAGGGUGACAGUUCCAAAGUCAUGGGAAAUCUAACACCUAGCUCCAGGAUGAACGCUGUAACCUUUAUGGGACUAAUCGAGUGGAAUUAUUUGAUGGUCCUGAAGAAGAACUGGACUGUAUCCUCUGCAAGAAAAGUCUACUGGCUACACAGAUGUCUCAUCUCAGCUCUUUCAGGGCUGGCUUAAGUUUGGAGAAGAGGAAGCAUACUCCUGAAGAUGUCCCAGAAAGUCCAUAUGGUUGAGUUUCCCAUGUUUGCAUCAUGUUGGAAGCUGGUAAAACAAUUUGCUAUACUCUGAUGUGCAUGGAGGCUUCCUCAUCUUCAUCAAGUGUCAUAACUUUAAAGACUUGACAGAUUCAUUUACUCAUGUAUUUAUAUAUUGAUGUAGUACCGUGUUAGAUAUUGGACAGCCACAGAGUCAGCUUUAAGUAGUUGCCAUCACUGUAGGGAAGAUAAAAGUCAGGCAAGUCUGUGAGUAUAUCAAACAGAAUAUGUCUGGGGCUAGGUACAUGCCUUGAGCCGGCUCAAGUGCUUUCUAAACAUAAGCUGAUACUACAAACAAAUAAACAAACAAAAAAUCAUCGUAGCAAAAGAUGUACAAAAAGUCCCGGGGAUUCUAAGACAAGUAGGAAAGAUUAUAGCAUGAUGGUGUUGUCUAGGGGAAAAAUCAACUCUUCAAGCUUGUGCUAAAUCAUUGAUUAAUAUCAGAUUUUAGAAACCCAAGGGCAACUUUGCAUGAGACUGUUGGUUGUAUUGCCAUUAUGUCAACAUCUUGCUAUUUCUAUGCUCAAAAAAAGUGAUCUUUUAAUAAACCAAGGACAUUUCUCAUAUUUCACCCUCCAUUUUACAUGCUCUGUUAUAGAUAAAAUUGUCACCUUAUUCCAAAAGUAUAGCUGAUGAAUUAUUAUAGCCAUCUCUAAAGAUGAGAUGAACCAGGGGAACAUACCAGAAAUGAGUUUGAGCUUAGUAACUUUGUACAAGUUAAUGUUUUUGAGCUUCAGUUUCUUCCUCUAUAUAAUGCCUGCUUGGUUCAUAAAGUUUAUUACAUGAAUCAAAUGAUAAUAAAUGUAAAUGCAUUUGGAAAACUGUAAAGUUGCAUUUAAAUGUGAGUAUGAUUAUGUCUAUUUACUCUUGUAAUUUUGUAGAUAUUUUAACAUCCCUCAUUAGUUUACUUAAAAAAAUCCUUGAAGAUUCUCUAGAUUAAUUUGCAGUUAUUUGAUUAAUCUUUCCAAAAUAUUUUAUAGCAACUUUAAUGUGAUUGUAUUUCUUUAUAUUAAUUUUGGAAGGAUUGAUGUCUUGACCACAACAGGUGUUUUAAAUUAGUAACAUGAUAUGUUGAUCUACUAUUGAUUCAUUUUAGCGUAUUUAUUAUUUCAUUUAUUGUAUUCUUCAACUCUAUUUUCUAACCUAUUGUUCAAGUUCUCUUUUGUGUUCAUCCAUUCUUCUUCCAAAUACGUUGAGUUUCUUUAUGCUCAUUACCUUGAACUCUUUAUUGGUAGUUUGGUCAUAUCUACUUGUUUAGUUAUUUUUAUGAGGUUUUGUCUUAUUCCUUCAUUUGGAACAUAUCUCAUUUUGCUUAAUUUUCUGUGUUUAUUUCUAUGUAUUAGAUGGGCUGGUUAUGUUUCUCAAUGUUGGAGAAGUGGCCUAUGUGGAGACAUUUUAGGGGCUGAGCAGAACACUCCCCUCUGGUUACCAGGGCUGUAUGCUGUAGGAGUGCUCCCUCUGUGGGCUGUUGGGUCCUUCUAUCAUGGUUUGGUGGCUAUUGUGGGCAUGCUGCUAGGUGGGGCUGGCCUCUAGCCUGGUUGGUUGCCAGGCCCUGUGUUGUGCGGUAGCUGCUGGCCCACUGGUGGGCAGGGUUGCAUCAGUACUGCUGACUUGGAUUUUUAGACAUCUUUAACAGGAGGGUCCAUCUGAUUCACUUAAACUUUUAUUAUAAGCAGUUGAAAUUCCAUUCCAGCUUUUAGAGCAUGAGAUGGCAUAAUUUGGUAUCAAGUUAAAAAAUAUUGCAUUAGCUGUUGUGUGGAUGUUGGAUGCAGGGUAAGAGCAGGAGCAAGGAGACCAGUAAAGAGGCCUGGCAGUUAAACAGAUGAGAGGUAAAGGGGAUUUGGGCGAGGAUGGGUGAGAUGGAGAGAAGUUAUAUAGAUUUAUUUCUGAAAUAACGAAGUAGAUUUAUUUCUGAAAUACCAGGACUUUAUCUUAGACUAUAAAUGAUUUAAAAGGGUGGCUUUAAGGGUGACUUCUAUAAUUUGGCUUUGGUAACUCAGUGGAGAUUGUGCCAUUCACAUUAUAGAAAUGUAAUGCUGCUAACUUCCACACACAGGAAAAAGUGGGUAUGUCAAGAAAAUGGCUGGAUGUGAGCCCAGAAUUCAGGGGAGAGAUGAAGAGAUGCAAAUUUGGGCUCUUCAGCAUAGAGGUGACACUUAGAGCUAGGGAUGGGUUAUAUAACCUGGGGAGAAAACAUGAGAAAGAAGAGGAAAGGUCUGGAACUUCCCUGAGGAAUUCCGACAUGCAAAAUUCAGGUGGAAGAGGGGGAGUCUUUGAGAGAAAAUACGAAAGACUUGCUCAGGGAGGUAAUAGGAAAAUCAACAAAAUAGGGAGCUGCUGAAAGAAAAGAUGAACUGAAGGAGAAUUGAGAGGCUAUUUCAAAGGAUUUUAACAGAUCAAGUAAUUAAUACAAGAGAAAAUAGCUAUUGGACUUGUCAGCAUAGACCUCUUCCAAGACCACGGCAAAAGCACCUUUCUGGGAGGGAUGUAGAUUGGAGUAAGGUGGAAGCAAACAAAAAUAACUUUUGUAAAUAUCCCCUACAAAGGGCAUGGCUUCACGUCCCUGGCUGCCUGUUAUUACUUCUCUGACUUGUCAUUAUAUUUCCUUGGACUUGUUAUAACAGGACCUGGGGAUGCUUGCCUUUGGUGUGAGAUGCUUCCAACUCUAUACAUGGUGGGGAAUGAAGCAUGCGAGCUCCUCAGUUCAAAAAUGAACUUUUAUUCUCAAAAGCAUUUCAUAUUAGUAAGUUAGUUCAACAAAAAUAGACCUGAUAGGUGAAGGGUUAUUAACUGCCAUGAUUGUGGACAUCAGAAAAAAGAGAGUAAGUGAAACUAUUUAAUGAUUCUUUAUCAAGCUUUCCUGUACAGCCCCCUCCUGCCUCAUACCAGGGUUAUUGCAACUAUAUUCUAACUCAUUUCUCCACUUCCAGACUUAUACACUACUUUAAUGUCCUUAAAACAAUGACUUCAUUUCACCUUUUGACUGAGGAGAAACUUAAAUGGGUCUCCAUUUAGCUAACACUGUCCUUUGUACCUGACAGUAUGUAUGUCAUUGUACGAUGAAGUAGUAGAAAAAAAUUCCAACACUUACUAGUAACAUACUGUCCCUCAAACUUCAUACUUAUCUAUAAUUAUGAUUUUUGACAUGACCUCUUUUUUAUUUUCAAUGAUUUUUAUUUUUUCUCAUUUCUAUUAAUAAAAAUAAAGUCAAGAGGGUUCACAUGAAAAUGUGCUUGACAUUGGUAAUUACUAGAGAAAUGCAAAUCAAAACUACAAUGAGAUACCACUUCACACUGGUCAGAAGGGCCAUCAUUAAAAAGUCUACAAAUAAAAAAUGUUGGAGAAGGUGUGGAGAAAAGUGAACCCUCCUACACUGCUAGUGGGAAUAUAAAUUGGUACAACCACUAUGGAAAACAGUUGGAGGUUCCUCAGAAAACUUGAAAAAUAGAACUACCAUAUGAUCCAGCAAAUCCACUCUUGGGCAUAUCUCCAGACAAAACUGUACAUGCAGCCCUAUGUUCAUUGAAGUACUAUUCACAAGAGCCAAGGCAUGGAAACAACCUAAAUGUCCAUCAACAAAUAAAUGGAUAAAGAAGAUGUGGUGCAUAUACACAAUGGAAUACUACUCAGCCAUAAAAAGAAUGAAAUAAUGCCAUUUGCAGCAACAUAGAUGCAACUAGAGACUAUCCCACUAAGUGAAGUAAGUCAGAAGGAGAAAAACAAUGAUAGCAUAUGAUAUCACAUAUAUGCAGAAUCUAAAAUAUGAUGCAAAUGAACCUAUCUAUAAAACAGAAAUUGACUCAUAGACAGAGAUCAGACUUGUGGUUGCCAAGGGGGAGGAGAAGGGGGAGGGAUGGAUUGGGAGUUUGGGGUUAGUAGAUGCAAACUACUAUAUAUAGAAUGAAUAAAUAACAAGUUCCUACUGUAUAGCAUAGGGAACAAUAUUCAGUAUCCCAGAAUAAAGCAUAAUGGAAAAGAACAUAAAAAUGAAUGUAUAUAUGUGUAUAACUGGGUCAUUUGCUGUACAACAGAAAUUAAUACAACAUUGUAAAUAAACUAUACUUCAAUGAAAAAUAAUUUAAUAAACU